UUUACGGAAAAGGAGAGGGAGCUUCGAACUAGUUCACUAACUAGAAAACAACCAAAUACUGGGUCAAAAGAAACCAGCUUAGAUGAAGUGUUAUGUAGGCACAUGGAGAGAAAACCUUUUGCCUAUGGACUUUGUAAUGAAUGUUAUGAAGAGUUCAUGAAGGUUUCAGGAGGGCUCGAUAGAGGAUCAGAUCCACCUGCAUUCCAGCUUGCUGAGAAAGAGAGACUGGCAAAAUUAUCUAUUCAGGAAAAUGCUAAAGUAUGUUCUGUAAUCAUACUUUCUAAAGGUUUAAGGACAGUGAAAGGUUGAAAAUCCUAAUUGUAAUCACUUGAUAUAUUUUACUUUGCGAGAGUCAUGUGGGCACUCAAGUUAUUCUCUCACAAUAUACUUCUCUCCCUUCCUAAUGUGCUAA